AAUCAGGCGUUGCUUCCACAGAAGCUUCAGGAUUCGCCUCCAUCUAAAAAAACAGGAGCUUUCACUUGUCACCAAGUUCCCAAAUGAAUACCUUCUUCGCAGUAAAAAGAAUUGACAAUCUAAGAAGAUAUGAUCAAGGACCUGUAUGAAGCAAAAAUGAACAGGAAAAGCACGGAGUCGCUAACCCUAAAUUCAAAAUUUGAAACUUUGACAGCUGAUGAAUCCGAGAAAGAUU
rnacentral:lncRNA from 1 species